UACGUAGGGUGCAAGCGUUGUCCGGAUUUAUUGGGCGUAAAGAGCUCGUAGGCGGUUUGUCGCGUCGGAUGUGAAAACCCAGGGCUCAACCCUGGGCCUGCAUUCGAUACGGGCAGACUAGAGUAUGGCAGGGGAGACUGGAAUUCCUGGUGUAGCGGUGAAAUGCGCAGAUAUCAAGAGGAACACCAGUGGCGAAGGCGAGUCCCUGGACAACUUCUGACGCUGAGGCACGAAGGCUAGGGGAGCAAACAGG
rnacentral:rRNA from 1 species